rnacentral:rRNA from 1 species
UACAGAGGUGGCUAGCGUUGUUCGGAAUUACUGGGCGUAAAGGGCGCGUAGGCGGCUUGGUCAGUCCCGUGUGAAAUCCCUCGGCUCAACUGAGGAACUGCACGGGAAACUGCCUGGCUUGAGUUCGGUAGGGGAGACUGGAAUUCCUGGUGUAGCGGUGAAAUGCGCAGAUAUCAGGAGGAACACCGGUGGCGAAGGCGGGUCUCUGGGCCGAUACUGACGCUGAGGAGCGAAAGCGUGGGGAGCGAACAGG